AUUGAACGCUGGCGGCAGGCCUAACACAUGCAAGUCGAGCGGAGCGGCGGACGGGUGAGUAAUGCCUAGGAAUCUGCCUGGUAGUGGGGGAUAACGUCCGGAAACGGGCGCUAAUACCGCAUACUAUCAGAUGAGCCUAGGUCGGAUUAGCUAGUUGGUGGGGUAAAGGCCUACAAAGGCGACGAUCCGUAACUGGUUUGAGAGGAUGAUCAGACACACUGGAACUGAGACACGGUCCAGACUCCUAGGAGGGGCAGCAGUGGGGAAUAUUGGACAAGGGGCGAAAGCGUGAUCCAGCCAUGCCGGGUGGGUGAAGAAGGUCUUCGGAUUGUAAAGCACUUUAAGUUGGGAGGCGUUACCAACAGAAUAAGCACCGGCUAACUUCGUGCCAGCCGCCGCGUAAUUC
rnacentral:rRNA from 1 species